rfam:Fonsecaea multimorphosa CBS 102226 unplaced genomic scaffold supercont1.3, whole genome shotgun sequence.
GACAGUUUGGCCGAGUGGUUAAGGCGGCAGACUCGAACGGCCUAUUCUCUCACCAGGUAGGCUCACCCGUAAUCUGCUGGGUUCGCCCGCACAGGUUCAAAUCCUGUAGCUGUCG